UCCCAGACUCCUACGGGAGGCAGCAGUGGGGAAUAUUGGGCAAUGGGCGCAAGCCUGACCCAGCAACGCCGCGUGAAGGAAGAAGGCUUUCGGGUUGUAAACUUCUUUUAAGAGGGAAGAGCAGAAGACGGUACCUCUUGAAUAAGCUCCGGCUAACUACGUGCCAGCAGCCGCGGUAAUACGUAGGGAGCGAGCGUUGUCCGGAUUUACUGGGUGUAAAGGGCGUGCAGCCGGGAGUACAAGUCAGAUGUGAAAUCCCGCGGCUCAACCGCGGAACUGCAUUUGAAACCGUAUUUCUUGAGUACUGGAGAGGCAGACGGAAUUCCUAGUGUAGCGGUGAAAUGCGUAGAUAUUAGGAGGAACACCAGUGGCGAAGGCGGCUUACUGGACGAUGACUGACGCUGAGGCUCGAAAGCGUGGGGAGCAAACAGGAUUAGAUACCCCUGUA
rnacentral:rRNA from 1 species